rnacentral:rRNA from 1 species
UACAGAGGUCUCAAGCGUUGUUCGGAUUCAUUGGGCGUAAAGGGUGCGUAGGCGGCGCGGUAAGUCGGGUGUGAAAUCUCGGAGCUUAACUUCGAAACUGCAUUCGAUACUGCCGUGCUUGAGGACUGGAGAGGAGACUGGAAUUUACGGUGUAGCGGUGAAAUGCGUAGAUAUCGUAAGGAAGACCAGUGGCGAAGGCGGGUCUCGUGGACAGUUCCAUGACGCUGGAGGCACGAAGGUCAGGGGAGCAAACGGG